UAAGACGAAGGUGGCGAGCGUUGUUCGGUGUCACUGGGCUUAAAGCGUGUGUAGGCGGAAGAGUAAGCGUCUUGUGAAAGCCCUCGGCUUAACCGAGGAAUUGCUGGACGAACUGCUCUUCUUGAGGCAGGCAGGGGUGCACGGAACUCUUGGUGGAGCGGUGAAAUGCGUAGAUAUCAAGAGGAACGCCGGUGGUGAAGACGGUGCACUGGGCCUGUUCUGACGCUCAGACACGAAAGCGUGGGGAGCGAACGGGAUUAGAUACCCCGGUAGUCCACGCCGUAAACGAUGUCUACUAGGUUGUGGGAGUUCUGACGCUAUCACGGCCGAAGCAAAAGUGUUAAGUAGACCGCCUGGGUAGUACGGCCGCAAGGCUA
rnacentral:rRNA from 1 species